AAAAGUCGUAACAAGGUUUCCGUAGGUGAACCUGCGGAAGGAUCAUUCAUGAAAUUACUAGUAGCUUAUGCUGCUAAUAACACUCUUGUGAACCAACAAAGCUGCAUCGUGUCUGGGAGGGUCACUUCUCGGCCAUGCUGCAGUUUUAACCACUUUUUGACUAUUGUCUAUUGCUUAAACACACGUUUUGUAUAAAAACACAACUUUCAGCAACGGAUCUCUAGGCUCUCG
rnacentral:misc_RNA from 1 species